rnacentral:rRNA from 1 species
GAUGAACGCUGGCGGCGUGCCUAAUACAUGCCAGUCGAGCGAACAGACGAGGAGCUUGCUCCUCUGACGUUAGCGGCGGACGGGUGAGUAACACGUGGAUAACCUACCUAUAAGACUGGGAUAACUUCGGGAAACCGGAGCUAAUACCGGAUAAUAUAUUGAACCGCAUGGUUCAAUAGUGAAAGACGGUUUUGCUGUCACUUAUAGAUGGAUCCGCGCCGCAUUAGCUAGUUGGUAAGGUAACGGCUUACCAAGGCAACGAUGCGUAGCCGACCUGAGAGGGUGAUCGGCCACACUGGAACUGAGACACGGUCCACACUCCUACGGGAGGCAGCAGUAGGGAAUCUUCCGCAAUGGGCGAAAGCCUGACGGAGCAACGCCGCGUGAGUGAUGAAGGUCUUCGGAUCGUAAAACUCUGUUAUUAGGGAAGAACAAAUGUGUAAGUAACUAUGCACGUCUUGACGGUACCUAAUCAGAAAGCCACGGCUAACUACGUG